rnacentral:rRNA from 1 species
CAAUUGAAGAGUUUGAUCCUGGCUCAGAUUGAACGCUGGCGGCAUGGCUAAAACAUGCAAGUCGCACGAGAAGCCCCUUCGGGGGUGGACAGUGGCGAAAGGGCGAGUAAUGCAUUUCUACGUACCCCGAGGUCAGGGAUAGCCCAGGGAAACUUGGAUUAAUACCUGAUGUGGUGCUUCGGCAUCAAAGGUCCGCCGCCUCGGGAGCGGGGAAUGUCCUAUCAGGUUGUUGGUGAGGUAAGAGCUCACCAAGCCGAAGACGGGUAGCGGGUGUGAGAGCAUGACCCGCCGCAUCGGGACUGAGACACUGCCCGGACUCCUACGGGAGGCUGCAGUAACGAAUCUUCCACAAUGCGCGAAAGCGUGAUGGAGCAAUGCCGCGUGCAGGAUGAAGCCUCUCGGGGUGUAAACUGCUGUCAGGGUUUA